AUUGAACGCUGGCGGCAGGCCUAACACAUGCAAGUCGAGCGAGCGGCGGACGGGUGAGUAAUGUCUGGGAAACUGCCUGAUGGAUGGGGAUAACUACUGGAAACGGUAGCUAAUACCGCAUACCAUCAGAUGUGCCCAGCUGGGAUUAGCUUGUAGGUGGGGUAACGGCUCACCUAGGCGACGAUCCCUAGCUGGUCUGAGAGGAUGACCAGCCACACUGUAACUGAGACACGGGCCAGACCCAGACGGGAGGCAGCAGUGGGGAAGAUUGCACAGUGGGCGCAAGCCUGAUGUAGCCAGGCCGCGUGUGUGAAGAAGGCCUUCGGGUUGUAAAGCACUUUCAGUGGGGAGGCGUUACUCGCAGAAGAAGCACCGGCUAACUCCGUGCCAGCAGCCGCGGUAAUUC
rnacentral:rRNA from 1 species